AUGAAGUUGGAUUCGCUAGUAAUCGCGCAUCAGCCAUGGCGCGGUGAAUACGUUCCCGGGCCUUGUACACACCGCCCGUCAAGCCAUGGAAGCCGGGGGUGCCUGAAGUGCGCUGCCGCAAGGAGCGCCCUAGGGUAAAACCGGUGACUGGGGCUAAGUCGUAACAAGGUAAC
rnacentral:rRNA from 1 species